UUGCUCACUUCAGCAGCACAUAUACUAAAAUUGGAACAAUACGGAGAAUAUUAGCAUGACCCCUGCACAAGAAUGACACACAAAUUCAUGAAGUGAGUGUUCCAUACUUUU
rnacentral:snRNA from 1 species